rnacentral:rRNA from 1 species
GACGAACGCUGGCGGCGUGCCCAACACAUGCAAGUCGAGCGAAUGAAGUUCCUUCGGGAAUGGAUUUAGCGGCGGACGGGUGAGUAACACGUGGGCAACCUGCCUCAUAGAGGGGAAUAGCCUCCCGAAAGGGAGAUUAAUACCGCAUAAGAUUGUAGUACCGCAUGAUACAGCAAUUAAAGGAGCAAUCCGCUAUGAGAUGGGCCCGCGGCGCAUUAGCUAGUUGGUGAGUAAAUGGCUCACCAAGGCGACGAUGCGUAGCCGACCUGAGAGGGUGAUCGGCCACAUUGGGACUGAGACACGGCCCAGACUCCUACGGGAGGCAGCAGUGGGGAAUAUUGCACAAUGGGGGAAACCCUGAUGCAGCAACGCCGCGUGAGUGAUGACGGCCUUCGGGUUGUAAAGCUCUGUCUUCAGGGACGAUAAUGACGGUACCUGAGGAGGAAGCCACGGCUAACUACGUG